ensembl:lncRNA
GCAGCCCUGAUAGCCAUGGUGAGGCUCCUGGUGUGCAUCAAUCAACCUACAGAAGAGGAGCCAAAAUAGCUGAUUACUGGGUCCAUAAUGUCUUAUCCUCAGAACGAAACCAAAUUUUCAGUUUGCUUUUAGAAUGGCUUGUUUUCCUCAUCCAUCUGCAUGCCCAGCUAAAAUCUUCCAGGAAAUGAUCCUUGUUUCAACAGCAGGUAUGUCAGGUACAGGUAUUUUAAGGAGGAGGUAGUUUAAGCCAAGGAAUGAAUAUUUCCAUGUUUUCCUAACCCACAGUCAAAAGCCCAUCUGCCACUAAGUGGUUUGUAACUUGACAGUCAGCCACCACUAUUUUUUAAAGUGUUCUAUAAUGUUUAUAAUGCCAGUCCCUGUUGCUAACCUUUUUUUUUUUUUUUUUUUUUUUUUUUUUUUUUUUUUUUUUUUUUUUGUGGUAACCCUUUUACCUUCUUUUUCCCUGCUCAGACCCAUUAGCAGGAUGUUGUGCAAUAUGGUGCUUGUCAUCUGUUUCAAAGACACAGUGAUGAGAUACAGGUAUGCCAGAUGGAUAAACCUAGUGUGACUAAUUAUUGUGUAUUUGCCUUUAAUUAUUAUCAUUUAUUACCAGAGAAAAGACAAUAGAGGUUCCCAGACUCGGAAGGGAAUGUCGGCAGAAGGGGAAUUUUUGUCUUUUUGGUUUUUUUCUUUUUCUUUCUUUUUUUUUUUCUGAGAGAUUGGCACAUCAGCAAGAAAAGUUUUCUUCUUGGAGAGAAAUACUGCAAAACAUCUGAGACAGGAGGAGACAACAUGACCCAGGGAAUACUUUCCUUUCCCUGGCACAUACCUGAGGAUCAGAUCUCUCACAGGAAAAAGGCUGCUGACACCACAGAAGCAAUGAGCUGCAUGUCAGGGCCAUUCUUGCAGGCUGGGGAUGAAAUCUGCCUGGAGGACUUGCAAAAUUCAGUCCCUGCUCUCCUCACAGUGGGAUGUGGAUGUGAACGUCGCCUCUUUCUCAGAACAGCUUUUAAGAGUGUCUUUGGGAUAACAGGGACCAGAAAACAACUUGUGACCCAAAAGGGAAAUAGCAGCAGCAGCAACAGGAUUCUUCUCCAGCGCACGUGGUAA